UGUUUUGUGUUGUAGCAUUUGUUCUGGAAGCUCGUAUUUACAUUUUAAGUGUAUCUGGUGAGUGGGCUGGAGCCCUCGUCUGGGCUGGGGGGGAAAAAAAGCCGUUUGGUUCGUCUUUUAGCCGCUCUUUCUUUUUCUCUCCGGUUUCGCAUCACUCCAACCAGCGCGACCAUGCCCAGGAAGAAGGCGGCGGCGGCCUGGGAGGAGCCGAGCUCGGGCAACGGCACGGCCCGCGCCGGGCCCAGGAAGCGCGGCGGCCCGGCCGGCAGGAAGCGCGAGCGGCCCGAGCGCUGCAGUAGCAGCAGCGGCGGCGGUAGUAGCGGCGACGAAGAUGGCCUGGAGCUCGACGGGGCCCCCGGUGGGGGCAAGCGCGCCGCGCGGCCGGCGACGACCAAGGCGGGCGGCGCGGCAGUGGUUAUCACCGAGCCGGAGCACACCAAGGAGCGCGUGAAACUUGAAGGGUCUAAGUGCAAAGGGCAGCUUUUGAUUUUUGGGGCAACCAACUGGGACUUGAUUGGUCGGAAAGAAGUGCCUAAACAACAAGCUGCUUACCGCAACCUGGGUCAGAACUUGUGGGGGCCCCACAGGUAUGGGUGCCUGUCGGGGGUCCGGGUGCGGACGGUGGUUUCGGGGUCGUGCGCUGCCCACAGCCUGCUCAUCACCACGGAAGGGAAGCUGUGGAGCUGGGGGCGAAACGAGAAGGGGCAGCUGGGCCAUGGUGACACCAAGAGAGUUGAAGCCCCCAGACUCCUCGAGGGUCUCAGCCACGAGGUGAUCGUGUCCGCGGCGUGUGGACGGAACCACACCUUGGCCUUGACAGAAACAGGCUCCGUGUUUGCGUUUGGGGAGAACAAGAUGGGGCAGCUGGGCCUUGGCAACCAGACAGAUGCUGUUCCCAGCCCUGCGCAGAUAAUGUACAACGGCCAGCCAAUUACCAAAAUGGCCUGUGGGGCUGAAUUCAGUAUGAUAAUGGACUGCAAAGGAAACCUCUAUUCCUUUGGGUGCCCUGAAUAUGGUCAGCUGGGACACAACUCGGACGGGAAGUUCAUCGCCCGGGCGCAGCGGAUAGAGUACGACUGCGAGCUGGUGCCCCGGCGGGUGGCCAUCUUCAUCGAGAAGACGAAGGACGGCCAGAUCCUGCCCGUCCCAAACGUCGUCGUUCGGGAUGUGGCCUGCGGCGCUAACCACACGCUGGUCCUGGACUCCCAGAAGCGCGUCUUCUCCUGGGGCUUCGGUGGCUAUGGCCGGCUGGGCCACGCCGAGCAAAAGGACGAGAUGGUCCCCCGCCUGGUGAAGCUGUUCGACUUCCCCGGGCGCGGGGCAUCCCAGAUCUACGCCGGCUACACCUGCUCCUUUGCCGUCAGGGAAGUGGGUGGUCUGUUCUUCUGGGGGGCCACCAACACGUCCCGGGAGUCCACCAUGUACCCCAAGGCCGUGCAGGACCUCUGCGGCUGGAGAAUCCGGAGCCUGGCUUGCGGGUGCGUGAGUGGGAUGUCUGUCCUGCCUCCCUCCCGGGUGCGGUGGACACACUUGGGCCCCCCCUGUCGGGGCGUCGGCCCCGGAUUCCAGAGUCAGGAGGGGCAGGAGGGCUGUGCUCACCUCGCCAUGGCCUCCGCAGAAAGUCACCUAGAGUGUUCCCGGCCUGGCGUGUGCGCUCUCGCUUCGGGUUCAGAAUUGCUGUUAGUUAGGAGGGAGUCGGUUACUGCAACACGUGGGGAAGAAGGAAGUGUCCCAAGUCAGUUCUCAGUUUGUUUGGGGGACGCCUGUGGCGCUGUCUGGCACUUCCCGGUGAGGAGUUUGCUGAUCCAGACCACCUGCCAGGUCGUGCGGGAAUGACAGGGUGGUCGUUGCGAGGAUUGAUGUGGCUUUUGCCACCUUUAGCCCCGCCCAAGUUACUGGCCGUCACAUUCCACCUGCUUUAGAAUGAACUCUGCUUUCAUCCUGAUUCGGUGUCUCCUUUCCCAGUGUGUGUGUGCCUCCAAAAGUGACCCCCCUCCAGGAGCCCCAGAACCCGAGUGGGGGUGUGGCGGAAAGGUCUGGGGUCCUGUGGUUCCUGGGGCCCAGGGCUCUGCAGCUUGGGCCUGUGGGGGACAGCGUUUGGGGUUUGAGCCCGUGCCGUGUUGUUUGGAAAUGGAGUUUUUAAUGGGACUUGCUGGAUUUUAACACCAGUAGGUCACAGCCUGCACUCAGGCCGGGAGCCCACAGGCUGUGGCCCGGGCCACCGGGUGGGUGCAGCGCUGACGGGCUCUGCCUCUGCAGGAAGAGCAGCAUCAUCGUGGCCGCAGACGAGAGCACCAUCAGCUGGGGACCAUCGCCCACUUUUGGGGAACUGGUAAGCUGGUCCCUGCCAGGCAGAGGCAGAGGCAGAACCCGGCCUGGGCUCCCUGAACCGCUUCCUGAAAAUACGCAGAAGGAAAGCGGUCAUGGGGGGUGGUGGUUCCCUUGUCUCUUGAGGGUCCGCAGUAUAUCCCCUGACGUUUGGGCCCCUCCAGCUGUCAGUUACUCUCUGCCCAUCAUGUAGUCGGGAAAGUCUCUCCUGUCCUCGGUGUUAAGCGGAAGGCGGGGUGGGGGGGGCAUCUCGACCCCCUGCAUUUUGUCAGCUGUAGUCGUGGGGUGGCGUCGAAAGGAAAGAGGGCAGUUUCUUGUCCCUGCAGGAGGGUCUUGGUCACCAGGAACAGCGUGUCCUUUUAAACCGCAUGGCCAGUACUGACCGCGUGUCCCGGCUUCCUGGUUUCUAGCUUCUUAGGUCAUUUGCGGACAUUCCUCCGUCAUUUUUCUCAAAUGAGUUUGUCUGUGUUCCCUGCUUUUGAGCUCAGCGGCCUGAGUGAUUAGAACCCACGGCCCUCGGUUUUCCGCCCUCACUUGGCCUUCUCGACCAAGGGCCUGCUUCUUAGCCUCUGGGCCGUGGUGAGUCCUCACCGAUCAGCAGCUUCAUCGAGAACAGGUGGGCUCUGGAGCGCAUCCCGACGGCCUGCCGCCUCUAAUGGCAGUUUGAGCGUCAGCCUGGCUCUUUUAGUUCCGCUGGGAGCAGGUCUUAUUCCUUCCCCUCUGCUUUCGUGGAUGGGAGCUGACGGGGAGCUGCUCCUCGACCCCCGCCCCGUCUCAGGGCUGGAGGCCAAGGGUGCCAUUUGCUCAGGGCUGUGCGCACAGGUGCAGUCUGGUGGCUGCCUGGGGCUGGGCCCCCGGGGCCUCCAAGCCCCUGGAGGACCAGGCACAUGGUGGCCAUGGUUCCCUUUCCAACUGGUGACCCCAGUUCCCUGAGCAUCCCCUGUUCACCUUGCCAGGGCUACGGGGAUCACAAGCCCAAGUCUUCCACCGCGGCUCAGGAGGUGAAGACGCUGGAUGGCAUUUUCACGGAGCAGGUCGCCAUGGGCUACUCACACUCCUUGGUGAUAGCGAGAGACGAAAGUGAGACCGAGAAGGAGAAGAUCAAGAAACUGCCAGAGUACAACCCCCGGACCCUCUGAUCUCGCGGAGUCUCUCGGCUCCACCUCUCGCGGCAGCUGUCAUUUCCAUGUGCACUGGGACGAGAAGUCGAACGAGGAAUUUGUAAAAAAGCAAAGGUUGACCGAAGGUGCAUUUUUGUUAGACUCCCUGAAGUUCCGUUUUAUAAGUGAUUCAACGUCAACUACCUUUUCUGUAUGCUUUCCAAAGUGUUUUUUUUUUUUUCCCUCUUACUGUUUAAUUAAAAUAUUUGCUCAUAGUUGACUUACCAUUCCUACAAAAGAGGCAGAAACUUUGAGCAAUCUAGGUUUUUUUCGGUUUGUUUUUUAAGUUGUUUUUCCUUUUGUCCCUUCUUCUCUCAAUACAUUUCUCAAAACUCCCCUCUCCGGUUGUGAUGAGCGAUGUGAUCCGAGCGGAGUCACCACGUGCUCAGAACAAAGUGUCCCUUGGGGGAGCCGGCAGCACCUGAGGCAGAGACGUCCCCGGUGGUGGAUCUCCAUCCAAAAUCACACCCGCGUGCUGGGAAGCAUCUGGGUCACUUCUUUCCUGCUUUUCCUUCUAGACCGGCUGAGGCCGCGUGUGUUCCGCUUCUCCCCUUGGCUGCUUGUAAGCCCCACCGCCUUUUGGCUGCGACAUUAAUAGAACCUGCCAUUUCCCCCCUGGCGGGGGUCUCGGAUCUGUGUUUAGCCAUCUGUGUUGACUUUAGCUGUCAAAGAAGUCCAAGUGGAAAUCAGGUGAUCGUGGAACCAAUGGGGACUUGGGCGAGGGUGGGCAGACAUGGGGACCAUGUAUCUGGUUCGAGAUCCGACCUGAGGGCUCCUCGGAGCUGGGGCUGCGUUGCCAGCAGUUGCCGUUAGAGAUGGACCAGCCAGCGGUAAACAGUGCGUUCCGGAGUGAGUCCUUGCAGAGAAGGAUCAGCCCUUUGGGUGACCAGCCUUUUACUCCCCCCUCCGCUGGAUCCUGCUGGAACGACUUGGUCUGUUUCGGAGGCUCGGGUCCCUGUUCCGUUAUCCCAACUCUCUUGUCACGUUGGCUUGGCUGUGCUACCAAAUAGUUGGGAUUACAGAAGACGUCCCCCUUCCCCGCGUCGGUGCAGAGGCUGUGACCGCCACCCCAGCUCCCCCGCCAAGCGCCCUCUGCCCGAGCCCGUCACCGGCGCUGCGCUGCUCUGCGCGAGUUACGAGGUGCCUUUCCCGGAACCCUCCUCUCGCUUGGACCCGAGAGAGGCGACAGCUCUGGCUGGGCUCUCGCUUUCGAGAGGGUCUGGACUGGUUUGGGUGCUUUAAAAUAGAUUUUUAGUUCAGUGGUGCUUCUGGGGGAGAUGGGGGUAGAACUUCAGUGUGAGACUUGGGUGGAUGGGAAAGUUAAAUAUUGGUCUUUUAUUAUUUUUCUUUUUGCUUUGCUAUCGUUACCACUUGUCAUUGUCUUGAUGUUAAAAUGCCAAAAAUGACCUAGUCGUCGUUGCUUUUCCCCACUCGUAUCCUCCCCCUCCUUGCGCUUCCUGACAGUGGCUUCUGCCUUUGAAGGCCGUGUCGCAGUAUCUGUCCUGGCCAGUCCCAAGGCCUCGCGGGAGGAGGCCGGCCUGCGUCUGAGAUUUGUCUGGCUUCAUGCUCGUCUCCACUGUCCUGUGUGUAUAGUCCAGGGGAGGAGCUUCUGCAACUUCAGAGCUUCUGCUAAACUAACCUGAUUUGUCCAAAUCACCCAGAAUUCCCAUCUCUGAUUGAAGCUUCCUUGCAUAGAACCCCUCGGUUUCCCCGGACAGACCUCUUUCCUGGUUCAGGCUUAGACGCAUAUGCUCCUUGUCCCCUCGCAGCCUCCCUUGGGUUGCACGGUCACUAGGAGAGUCAAGGGAGCAGUCACCCAGGUCCUGGCCUUGCAGGAGCUGUCCUUAACCAAGCGGGGCUUUGACCUUCAAGCAGACUUGUCUGAAACCCACCAAUGGCUCUAGGACCCCUUGUCUGGGACCAGAGCAGAGAAGCAUCUUCCAAGUGGAGAUGGCCCUCUCCUCUCUCACAGUCACUCUUUUGGGCUUAUUAGAAUUUUAAAACGAGCUGCCUAGUGGGGAAGAUCCUUUAGAACAAGGAGUUGGGGUCUGGGGAGAGGUGCGCUCCCAGAGGAGGUGGCACAGCGGCCUGGGCUGGGGGGUGCACAUGGUGUCGACCCCUGGGGCACCUGAGUCUUCCAGCUCAGGAAGGAGACAGGGCCAGGAGGCUUGGAGUGAAGGGGAGAACCCAAGAAGAGCUUGUGAUUUGGUCGAAGGUGCCUGGUUUAGUGCUGUAAUUGUCUUUUUAUAUAUAUAUUUCUUGGAGUAAACAUUUUAAAUAAACAGCAUCAUUGUUUACUCUG